AUUGAACGCUGGCGGCAGGCCUAACACAUGCAAGUCGAACGGUAGCACAGAGAGCUUGCUCUCGGGUGACGAGUGGCGGACGGGUGAGUAAUGUCUGGGAAACUGCCUGAUGGAGGGGGAUAACUACUGGAAACGGUAGCUAAUACCGCAUAACGUCGCAAGACCAAAGAGGGGGACCUUCGGGCCUCUUGCCAUCAGAUGUGCCCAGAUGGGUUAGG
rnacentral:rRNA from 1 species